GAUGAACGCUGGCGGCGUGCCUAAUACAUGCAAGUCGAGCGAACAGACGAGGAGCUUGCUCCUUCGACGUUAGCGGCGGACGGGCGAGUAACACGUAGGUAACCUACCUAUAAGACUGGGAUAACUUCGGGAAACCGGAGCUAAUACCGGAUAAUAUUUCGAACCGCAUGGUUCGAUAGUGAAAGAUGGCUUUGCUAUCACUUAUAGAUGGACCUGCGCCGUAUUAGCUAGUUGGUAAGGUAACGGCUUACCAAGGCAACGAUACGUAGCCGACCUGAGAGGGUGAUCGGCCACACUGGAACUGAGACACGGUCCAGACUCCUACGGGAGGCAGCAGUAGGGAAUCUUCCGCAAUGGGCGAAAGCCUGACGGGGCAACGCCGCGUGAGUGAUGAAGGUCUUCGGAUCGUAAAACUCUGUUAUUAGGGAAGAACAAACGUGUAAGUAACUGUGCACGUCUUGACGGUACCUAAUCAGAAAGCCACGGCUAACUACGUG
rnacentral:rRNA from 1 species